AGAAUAUUAUUUAAGUUGUUUAAUUAGAGGUUAUUAAUUAAAAUAAUAUUGGUGAAUAUGUUUUAGUAUAGUUUAUGGAAUCUAUGGAAUGAAUAAUAGGGUAAUAGUACUGUGAAGGAAGGAUGAAAUAGAUGAAAUAAUUAUUGGAGUGGAAGAAGAAUAGAAUUUGUACCUUGUGUGUCAGGGUUUAUUAAUUAAUAAUAAUGAUUUGUAGUUCUCGAAUUUAAAAGAGCUAGAGUAGUAUUGUAGUUAAUGUGGUAUUAUUAUUACUAAUAUUAUUUUAGGGAUGAAAUGUUAGUCGUUUUUUAAGUUAUCUAGUUCUUCAAGAAAUGGAUUUAAUUCAUGUUAUUGAGAGUAAGAAUUUAAUUUAUAAUUAAUGAAUUAUUUUUGAUAACAAAUAUAUAAGGGGAUAAGCUUUUAUAUAAAGGUUAUAAAUUACAAGGUUUAAUGAGAGAGUAGUAGGCUUUAAAUUAGCCAUCAAUGGAAUAAUGUUAUAAGUUGUUUUGUGAUUAAAUUAUUUUUUAAUAGUUUUAGUUUGUUUAUUGAAGUAUUAUAUGGAAUAGGUUAAUAUAAGUGAUGAUGAUAAAAUGAGUAUAUGAGGGGUGUUUAUUUUUGAUAUUUAUGGAAUUUAUAAUAAGGAACUAGGCAAAUUAUUACUCCCCUGUUUACCAAAACCAUCUCUUUUUGUAUUUAUGUAAAGUAGGGCCUGCCCACUGAAGUUAUUUGAAGGGCCGCGGUAUUAUGACCGUGCCAAGGUAGCAUAAUCAUUARUCUUUUAAUUGAGGGCUGGAAUGAAUGGUUUGACCAGGUAAUAGCUGUCUCAUUAUAAUAUAUAGAAGUUAACUUUUGAGUUAAAAGGCUUAAAUUUUGAUGGAGGACGAAAAGACCCUAUAGAGCUUUAUAUAUAAAUUUAAAUUUGUAUUUAGAAGUUUAUAAGAAUUUGGAUUGAUUAUAUUAUGUUGGGGUGACAUAAAGAUAUAAUUAACUCUUUAUUUAUGGAACAUUGAUAUAUGGGUGUUUGAUCCAUUUUUAAUGAUCAUAAGAUUAAGUUACCUUAGGGAUAACAGCGUAAUUUUUCUUGAGAGUUCAUAUCAACAGAGAAGAUUGCGACCUCGAUGUUGGAUUAAGGAAUAUAAUUAGAUGCAGCAGUUUAGUUAAUAGGUCUGUUCGACCUUUGAAUCCUUACAUGAUCUGAGUUCAGACCGGUAUAAGCCAGGUCGGUUUCUAUCCUCAUUGUUUUAUUAUACUUUAGUACGAAAGGACCAAGUAUUAUAAAUAUUUUAUUUKAUUUGAUUAUUAAUA
rnacentral:rRNA from 1 species